GACGUAGGGGGCCAGCGUUGCUCGGAAUUACUGGGCGUAAAGGGUUCGUAGGCGGUGUGGCAAGUCGGGAGUGAAAUCUCUGGGCUUAACUCAGAGGCUGCUUCCGAAACUGCCGUGCUAGAGUGCGGGAGAGGCGAGUGGAAUUGCAGGUGUAGCGGUGAAAUGCGUAGAUAUCUGCAGGAACACCCGUGGCGAAGGCGGCUCGCUGGACCGCAACUGACGCUGAGACACGAAAGCGUGGGUAGCAAACAGG
rnacentral:rRNA from 1 species